rnacentral:rRNA from 1 species
GGGGAAUUUUCCGCAAUGGGCGCAAGUCUGACGGAGCAACGCCGCGUGCAGGAGGACGCUUUUCGGAGUGUAAACUGCUUUUCUGUGGGACGAGCAAGGACGGUACCACAGGAAGAAGCCCCGGCUAACUACGUGCCAGCAGCCGCGGUAAUACGUAGGGGGCGAGCGUUGUCCGGAGUUACUGGGCGUAAAGGGCAUGCAGGCGGUCGGACGCGUUUCCAGUGACAGUGGGUGGCUUACCUACCCGAGGAUUGGAAAGACGGUUUGACUUGAGGACUCGAGAGGGACACGGAAUUCCGGGUGGAGUGGUGAAAUGCGUAGAGAUCCGGAGGAACAUCAAAGGCGAAGGCAGUGUCCUGGCGAGUAACUGACGCUGAGGUGCGAAAGCUAGGGGAGCGAAAGGGAUUAGAUACCCCUGUAGUCA